rnacentral:rRNA from 1 species
UACGGAGGGUGCAAGCGUUAUCCGGAUUCAUUGGGCGUAAAGGGUGCGUAGGCGGCGCGGUAAGUCGGGUGUGAAAUCUCGGAGCUUAACUCCGAAACUGCAUUCGAUACUGCCGUGCUUGAGGACUGGAGAGGAGACUGGAAUUUACGGUGUAGCGGUGAAAUGCGUAGAUAUCGUAAGGAAGACCAGUGGCGAAGGCGGGUCUCUGGACAGUUCCUGACGCUGAGGCACGAAGGUCAGGGGAGCAAACGGG